GAGUUGCGACCCCUGUUAACCAAAAAUACCAAGAUCAAACAAUAUUUUCUUCAUGGGCUGAUUAAUCACUUCUAUUUUCAUUGGAGUUUGUUUGAUUUGAUUUUCGCGAAAAUGGAUAGAGACAAACUUUGUACCAGCCUUAUCACUUGGCUGAAGACUUUCAAUAUAGAUGUGCCAUGCAGCACGGCUGAUGAGCUUAGUAAUGGAAUAGCCAUGGCACAAGUACUUCACCAGAUAGCUCCAGAUUACUUCAGUGAAUCCUGGAUGUCUAAGAUGAAGAGAGAUGACACCCUAAACUGGAGGUUAAAGGUCAGCAACUUGAAGAAAAUAUUGAAAGGAAUACUGGAAUAUAAUCUUGAGGUGCUUGGUAUACAGAUUCAAGGUUUCCAGAUGCCCGAUAUAAAUGCCAUAGGUGAACACAACAAUGCAUCUGAGCUGGGGCGGUUGCUGCAGCUGAUCCUGGGCUGUGCUGUCAACUGUGAGGAGAAGCAUGAGUACAUCCAGCGCAUCAUGGCCAUGGAGGAGUCAGUGCAGCAGAUGAUCAUGAACGCCAUUCAGGAGUUGAUGACAAAAGAAAUUGCUUCUGCGGCAGAUUCCGAGUCAGAAAUGGCAGAACAGCUGAAGAAGACGGUGGAAGAAUUGAAUAGUGCCUUAGAAGCUAAAGAAGAACUCUUGCAACGAUGUCACGAACUUGAUAUGCAGGUGGCGUCACUGUCAGAGGAGAAGACAAUGUUCAGUGUGGAGAAUGAGAGACUAUUGGAGAGACUCCAUCAAGCUGAGAGUAUGGACGAUCCAAGUACCCCUGCUGGAAAGAGGUACCACCACCUAUCUAGUCAGAUAGAAAAACUACAGGAAGAGGUGUAUAAGCUGGAGACAGGCAAGGAUGAUUACAGAAUCAAAUUUGAAGUGGCAUCAAAAGAACUUGCAGAACAGAAGGAAAAGAAUGCUGAGUUAUCAGCAUUAGCCGAUGAAGCCAGGUCGUUAAAAGAUGAACUGGACAUUCUUAGACAUACAUCAGAACAAGUGGCCAAAUACGAAUCAACAAUUGAGUCCUAUAAAAAGAAAUUGGAGGACAUGAGUGAUUUACGAGGACAGAUAAAAAUGUUAGAAGAGAAAAAUACUAAAUAUAUGCAAGAGCAUUUAGAACUACAAGAGGAUGCACGUAAGGCGUCCUCCUUGAAGCAGCAGCUGGAGAUGUACAAGAUCCAGACCCAUGAGCUGCAGAGCAAGUUGGCAGAUGAGAUCAAACGAGCUGACAAGGCCGAGUUUGAGUUCAAGAGGGUGCAGGAGAAGAUGGUUACAUUGCAGAGUGAGAGAGAUAGAAUAGCGACUGAGCGGGAUUCCCUCAAAGAGAUGAAUGAGGAGCUGAAAUGUACAACCCAGUUCCAGGUGCCGGACAUCGUGGCCGGGAAUAAUGAGCUACCAGACCUGGCAUCCACACCGCAUCGCAUGGAAAUGCUUUCAAUACCUCCAGAAAUUAAGGAGAAAUUACUUCGUCUAGAGCAUGAGAACAGGAUGUUGACGAUGGGGUCGGCAGGGACGCAGGAUGAGCAGACACAGUUGAUACAGACGAUGCUGGACGAUGCCAAUGCCAGGAAGAAUGAGCUAGAGACAGAAGUCAGGAUAGGGAACCAGCGUAUCUUGGAGCUUGAGGCGCAGCUGGAGGACCUCCAGGACAACAAGCUGUCCAGUGUUUCCAACACCGAGGUCAUACAGCUGCAUAAGAAGAUCAACGAGCUGGAGCAGAAGGUGGACAGUCAGACCACGGAGCUGGGUCAGCGUAACCGUGAGCUGGCACAGCUGCAGGGACAGGUCAGCGCUGGCGCCGACAGGGUGCUGUCUCUCCAGGAACAACUCAACAAGAAGGAUGACGACAUGAAGACGAUGGAGGAACGAUACACCAGAUACCUCGAGAGGGCCAAACAGGUUGUGUCUGAGAUGAGCAGCAUGCAGAAGAUGGAUGGCGAUGCUCCUGAGCUUCAGUUGCUGAGGAACCAGCUGAUAGAAAAGGAGAGGCAGAUAUCACAGAUGGAGAAGGAGAGUGAGAAGACGAGGAACAUACGAGACCAGGAACAGAAGCUGAUGGUGUCUGCCUGGUACAAUCUGGGUAUGCAAAUCCAGAGGAAAGAAGCUGAAGAGAGACUUGUCAACAGCUCCCUGGGUCAGUCAUUCCUAGCACGCCAACGUCAGACUCGCACUCGUCAGGGCCAGCCACAAGUCACCAACCGUCCCAAUUCUACAAGUGUCUCACUUGGCACUAGCAAUAACAUCCCGUCGUCAUGACAACAGUGACAUCAUCGCUAUCAUGGGAUUGGUGCUUGACAGUGGCGGCAGUGCACACUAUUGCUGGCUGUGUUUCAUACACUCAUAUAUUAUUCUGUAUCAGUGAGAUGCAGACUGUAUUAUAUGUAUUAUAUAGCAUACAAGAUGAAUAUGUUUAGCAUGAGUAUAUGCAUUCGUAUGCAGCGGAAAUUGAAGGGAGACAACUCGACUCAGAAAGUUUGAAUAUUGAUGGCAAUUAUCAUGAAAAAUUCUGAUAACAGAAACCAUUCUAGUGGAGCUGAGACCUGAGCUGGGUUCUAUGACACAUAGUCCAUGACAGAAUAAUGUGACAUUAUUCUCUCAUAAAAAUAAUAUGUCUAUUUAUAAUAUGCCAGAUUUACUUAGUGAAUGCUCAUGAUGCUGGCUCAUGGGAUGGGUGUGUGUGUUUUCAAUCUAUUUGUCCUUGGCUGGAAUUUUUAAGUGGGUUGAGCAUGAAACAUCAUCAGGAUCAACAAUAAAGAAGUUGUUAUAUGCAAGUAUCUUGAAAAUUAGUAAGUUCCAGUACAUUUGACUAAUUAUGUUGACGGAGAAUUGCUUGAUUGAAAAUUAUCAUUUCUCAUCCAUGAGAACUGAACGAAUCAAGCUCUCAAGCAUUGGGUCUGCUUCAUAAGAAUUCCUACACUCAUGCUGAGCAUAAUGAUGAGAUGUAUAUUGUUAAGUCAUGCAUCACUGAGUAACAACACACUAACUGCCUUAACAUCAGAAAACUAACAGCAGGCUAUGGGGGCCUUACUCACAUCCUUUGUGUAUCAGGGUUACAUUGGUCAUUGUCUUGUCAGCCCAUUAAUAAAUGUUACAUUGAAAACAAGCUCAGUUCAUCUCAUUAAAAGUGAGCCCAGUAGGUGUUUUGAUGAUCUUUUAAAAAGAUAUUGAAAAUGUAUAACUUUAGUGAUCAAGAUUGGUAGGUUAGUUGAUGAUGUGAUGUUUGGAGAUGAAUGUGAGAAUGUUUGACUGCAUGUGUUUGAGAUGAUGUUAAAGUAACAGAUGAUGUUUUUUCUGUAUGUUUGUAACAUGAUAGUAUAUGGUCAUGGCACCAAACCUCAAACCAUUUUAUAAGAAUAAAAAGAAAAUUACUGUCUCAGAUAUUAAGAUGAUGUUUUUUGUGUUUCAUUGCAUGGCAUUUCUUUGGUUUAUUAUGUGGGCUUGCUUUGUGGUCAUUGAAUUAUAUUUGCAUGCCAGGGUUAAGCAGUUAUGUUUCAUUUCAUCUUUGAUUGCCGUGCUUUGGUUUUCAGAUAUUUUACAGUGAAUCAUUUGUUGUAUGUACAUUUCAUCCUAGUCUUAAAGUGGUUACUCUGCUUUUGGUAUUUGUAUUUUCAUGUGAAUUAUUUGCUUACUUUGCAGUUUUGUGUCUAUAACAUCUUAUCAGGAUUAACUUGAAGAUGCCAACUUGCCAUGUGGAAGGAUAAUAUACUGAGCACCUAUAUUUCUUUUUGAAGAAAUUCAUAUUAUCAUUUAGAAAAAUUGAAACUGAACAUUCUGAAGAGCCACUGAAACCAGAAGACAUUGCAAAGCUAGAGUAAUCGUAACAGUGGUGUUGGAUGUUACUCUUUCUAUUGAUCAAUGGUUUGGACAGACUUAUUUAUCAGCAGCAUUGAUAUAGCUGAAAUAUUGCUGACUUCGGCAUUAAAUGAAAAACAAAUCCUUUUCACUUUGGAUACCAGCAAUAAGGCUAAUCUCAUGGGGAGUAUGACUACCAUUCAGUAUAGUUUAUACAUAGAGAUGUGCCAUUACAAAUCAUAGACACUUCAACAACAGAAAUUAACCUGAAAUGUUUGGAAUAACAUGACAACCCCUUAACAUCACGAAAUUCUGCUAGUCAUCAGGAUACUUACUUACAAUAGAUGAACUGAUCAGGCUAGCUGGCAUGUGAAUUUCUACCCCUGUACUUUUUUACAUGUGUAUAAUCUCUUAGUCAAGUGGGGAAUAUGGGUUUUAUCAUUUGUUAUCGAAACAGACUGUAACCCGAGGCAGACAUUUAUUCAAAGUUAUGCAAAAUCUUCCAGGAUGGUAUGACAUGGAUUGGAUAUGUUGAUUAGUUGUUCACAGAGUUUAUAUUUUAAUAAUGUGAUGCUUAAUGCAGUGAAUAUUUAUCACAGACUAAACUUGAUCUCCGCGUUACAGUUCCAUGUGAAUUAUUCUAUUUCAUAUAUCAUGCAUUUGUAUCUUGAAAAUAUAUACAUGCAUAGUUAUUGGGGGGAGGAAAACUAAAUAGGUAUAUUACUGUUCAUUGUCGAUGUCUUUCUUCCAUGCCUGUUACAACCUUUCUCCUUUGAUUUUACAACUGUUCAGCAGCUUUUUCAGUGUAUGGGAAAUAUCUGUCUGUAUUUAAGAUUUCUUGUUAAGGGACAGAUUUGAGAUCCUUUUCACAUUUGUUUGCUGUCUAUAUUUUCAAACCGAGGGUGUUGUUAUUAAACAUGUUAAAUCAUAAAUUUACUAUAACAAGCAACUGAACACAUGUUGAAAUGGCAAUGUCCUGCAAUAUAUGACAACAGGUGUACAUUUCUCCUUAUACUGUUAGAUUGUAAAAAAAUACUAGUGCUAUUUAUGCUAUUAAUGCUUAUAAUCUUUGUACAUAUAUUCCAUUUUAAAACCAAAUGCAUGUUGUAUGAAAUUUAUUCAUGAAUCCUGUUCAAUAAAUAUAUAUUUGGGGUAAGCCAAAUCAGACACAAUGGCCACCAUAUGAAGAUUGAAAAUCACUGAAGAAUGUCUCAUACAUUAUUUGCUGUGGAAAAGUUAAACACCUUCUAUUAGAUAGUUCUAACGAUACUAUUUACCUCAUUAUGAUGCAGGGCGGCGGGGUAGCUUAGUGGUUAAAACCUUCACUCAUCACGUCAAAGAUCUGGGUUCGAUUCUCCACAUGGGUGUAAUGUGUGAAGCGCAUUUCUGGUGUCUCCCGCCAUGUUAUUGCUGGAAUAUUGCCAAAAGUGGCAUAAAACCAUACCUACUCACUAUAAUGAUGCAACUAACUACGUAAGUAUUGGUUUCAAUCAACUUGGAUGUCUUUAUUUUCAAUAUCACAGAAUAAAAGUUCAAACUUGAACUGCCACAUGAGUGUUACAAAAUAAUAUAAACAACAUUUUAACUUUAAAAAGGUCACUUGUUAGAUGUGGCACUAAGUCUGUUAUUCUUUUUACGUCACUUUAGGAAAUACCCUUACCUCUGUUCUUGACCUAAAGAAGUGAAGACGUUAGGUUCUGUCCUGCAUUAAGGUUGUGUAAAGUGUUGACAUAAGUGAUUGUCUUGCAGCACCAUACACCUUACAUCAACUGAUUCCUUGUUUCAUUUAGCCAUCCUUGUUGCUUUAUUGUUUUUACUUUGUUUCAACUGUAGCUUUGUCAUAGAAACUUAUUUCAUCAUCAUCAAGCAAAUGUUCUUGUGUAACCUAUUUCCAUUCUGCUUUAUUUUUGUAUUUUGAGGGUUUGAAUCUUUGAUUUCCUCAGUGAACAUAUGAAUAAAUCCUUCUAAUCUGUCAAAGUUUUUAAGUACCUUGCAUGAACGUUACCUAGAUAGCUUCAAGGAAAAUAUGGUCUAUGCAAGAAAUCAUAUUCGACAUUAAUUAAACACAAGCUUUUGUUUUGUGAAAAUAUGUAUAUUUUGUGUCUGUCUUCAUGAAGGAUUGAAUGUCUUAACUACCACUCAUUUACAGAUCCCAUUUGUAAGAGUAUCAUUUGAUAAGAUGAAACUAUGACAUAUACAAAGCAAGGUAAAAAAUAAGGACAACGAAAAAGUGAAGGUUUACCAUCUUAACCAUGAAUUACAGUGAGGAUUGUUCUCUUGAAUGCAAGUCAAAAGGAAAUAUGCCAUGGAAAAUUUGGCUGUAUCUGUGGCUGUUUGCAAUGAUAGUCUUUUGACAAGACAGUCCUCUAUAAAUUAUGGUACUAUUCAAGAUUGUUUGGAACUGACUGUAUAUGGAAGGUUUUACAAAGAUUUUGAUUAUUAUGAUUAUUAUGACAAGAUUUUGUAAAUGGGAGUAUGGUACUUUGUUUUGUUUUGAAUGCAAUGUAGUUUAGCUUUUCUGAAUGGGAUGCUGUUAUUAUGUCAUGACUGGGAGUUUCAUACACCUCUACUAUAGAAGGCCCCUUGUCACAUAUGCAUUUAUAUGUAACAUAUUUCUUGUACUGUACAUUAUUUGUAUAUAUAUUUAUCCAAUAAAUAUUUUGAUCAUGAA
rnacentral:misc_RNA from 1 species